rnacentral:rRNA from 1 species
AGAGUUUGAUUAUGGCUCAGGAUGAACGCUGGCGGCGUGCUUAACACAUGCAAGUCGAACGGAGUUAAAGGGAGGAAGUUUUCGGACGGAAUCGCUUUAACUUAGUGGCGGACGGGUGAGUAACGCGUGGGUAACCUGCCUCACACUGGGGGAUAACAGAUAGAAAUAUCUGCUAAAACCGCAUAAGCGCACGAGGUCGCAUGACCAUGUGUGAAAAACUCCGGUGGUGUGAGAUGGACCCGCGUCUGAUUAGGCAGUUGGCGGGGUAGAGGCCCACCAAACCGACGAUCAGUAGCCGGCCUGAGAGGGUGAACGGCCACAUUGGGACUGAGACACGGCCCAA